AUACGGAGGAUGCAAGCGUUAUCCGGAUUUAUUGGGUUUAAAGGGUGCGUAGGCGGUUUGCUAAGCGGGAGGUGAAAUGCCGGCGCUCAACGUCGGAAGUGCCUCCCGAACUGGUGGACUGGAAUGACUCUGCCGUGGGAGGAAUGUGUAGUGUAGCGGUGAAAUGCUUAGAGAUUACACAGAACACCGAUUGCGAAGGCAUCUCACGAAGGGCUGAUUGACGCUGAGGCACGAAAGCGUGGGGAUCAAACAGGAUUAGAUACCCUGGUAGUCCACGCAGUAAACGAUGAUGGCUAACCGCUGGUUUAUUCGGAUCAGUGGCCAAGCGAAAGCGAUAAGCCAUCCACCUGGGGAGUACGACCGCAAGGUUGAAACUCAAAUGAAUUGGCGG
rnacentral:rRNA from 1 species